rnacentral:lncRNA from 1 species
GCCAUGACUUAAUUAGAUCAUGUUGAUUUCACCAAUCGAGAUAUUGGACCAAUCGUAAUGAUGGAUUGUGUCACCUAAUCAAUUCGAAUUAUACCUCAUAAAUUCUCUCUCAUCUGAUUUUCUCUCUCUACUUGAUUUUAUGAAAUCAAUGAAGAAAUCUCGGUCCUAUCACUUCGAAUCCGAUUUGAUCUGAUAGUCAA